rnacentral:rRNA from 1 species
GACGAACGCUGGCGGCGUGCCUAAUACAUGCAAGUCGAGCGAAGUUUUUCUGGUGCUUGCACCGGAAAAACUUAGCGGCGAACGGGUGAGUAACACGUAAAGAACCUGCCUUAUAGACUGGGACAACUAUUGGAAACGAUAGCUAAUACCGGAUAACAGCAUUAACUGCAUGGUUGAUGUUUGAAAGUUGGUUUUGCUAACACUAUGAGAUGGCUUUGCGGUGCAUUAGCUAGUUGGUGGGGUAAAGGCCUACCAAGGCGACGAUGCAUAGCCGACCUGAGAGGGUGAUCGGCCACACUGGGACUGAGACACGGCCCAGACUCCUACGGGAGGCAGCAGUAGGGAAUCCUCCGCAAUGGGCGAAAGCCUGACGGAGCAACGCCGCGUGAGUGAAGAAGGAUUUCGGUUCGUAAAGCUCUGUUGUUAGGGAAGAAUGAUUGUGUAGUAACUAUACACAGUAGAGACGGUACCUAACCAGAAAGCCACGGCUAACUACGUG